UACGAAGGGUGCAAGCGUUAUUCGGAAUUACUGGGCUUAAAGGGUGCGUAGGCGGUGCAGAAAGUUGGGUGUGAAAUACCUCGGCUUAACCGAGGAAUUGCGCCCAAAACUACUGUGCUUGAGGAAGAUAGAGGUGAGCGGAACUUAGGGUGGAGCGGUGAAAUGCGUUGAUAUCCUAAGGAACACCGGUGGCGAAAGCGGCUCACUGGAUCUUAUCUGACGCUGAGGCACGAAAGCUAGGGUAGCGAACGGG
rnacentral:rRNA from 1 species